GACUAAUCAUUACCCAGGGUUUCAUCUGUACCUGUUACGUGGAAGGAAGGUGAAGGAGAAGGGAUACGAACGGCCUUUGAUAAGCUUGUCAGUGACUGUGACCUGCAUGAGAAGUUUUCCUUCAGAAUGGAACAGUGUCAUGACUGACACCAGAGGGCGCUGACACUUGUGAGUUUCUUUGACGCUAACUUGAGGGUGGAGCCCAUGGUGAGCUGUCCAGGGGCUGAAGAAGCAGGUCCAGGCAAUUCCAGUGUAUAACCAGUACAGCAAGGUCCAGAAGCCUGAGGAAACUGAAAUCCAUCUGAUCCCGGGCACCAGGCAGGAUCGGGAGGAGAUUUGCCUGCAGCUCUCAUUCCCGCAAAGAUGUGGUCCAUCUGCCCCUGCUCCACAGCAGCGACCCUCCUUCCUGCCUCUCCUGGCCCCCUUCUCAGCUCUGGGGAGGACUAGGACUCCCGGGUCUCCUCCACCAGACCCAGAGCACAGAGCAGGGGUGGCCCCAAGAGGACCAUGUGGACCACAAUCAACCCUGCUCCCUGCUGAGGCUCCAUAUUGUGAGUUCUCCCCAAAGCUGAACUCCUCGUUCUUCACUGCAGACCCAAGCUCCCAAAGAUGCUGGUGGCAUGAUGAAGCGCCUGACUCACAGCUCUCCCUGUGCCCUGCUUCUGGCCACAGAGAACAGUAUCUGGAGCCCGGGAUAGCUUGGGGGUGGUGGGAAGCCUGCAGUCUGAUUCCUCAGGCUGCAUGACUUGGGGCAAGCAUACCCGACGGCUCAGGAAGCAGGCAGGGGAAAGAAGUGGGUUGAGGACAGAAGGGAGCAUCGUCGGUGGCUGUGAUUCUCUGCCCACAGAGUGUGGAAGGCUAGCUGGGCUCUGCUCUCUCCAGCCCCAGCCGUCCCUCACGCUGCAUCCUUCUGGUCCUUGGCAUCCUGCUGAGUGUUGGGUUUACCUGGGGGUGAGUGACCACAGAGACGUCCUGAGGUGUGCAGUCCCCAUUCUCCUGGUGUGUGAACAGAAUACCAGCUUCUUGUGGAGUUUUCCAGACAUCCACAUGCAGAAUAUAAGACGGAUGUAACCACAUCAUGGUUUAACGGAGAUCUCAAUUCCGUGCUAUUGUUUUCCUAUCUCUUCUCCCCCCUCAGCAUACCCCAACUGGUGCUGACUUGAUUGAAAUGGGGGAGCAGGACCCAGUGGUAUUAGAAAGUCUGCACCAGUGGUGCCUAUUUCCCCCAGAAUUUCAUUGGUUUGGUUUCAUCACUGAAGACAAAGGAGCUUUAGCUGCCGACCUCGCUGGGAUCACUUUUGGCAGGUUUGUGGUAAAGAUCUGGUGGACUGUGGCUUGGAGAAUGCCAGGGAAAGUAAGCUUUGUGCAUCCCCAUCCCAGUUAGUUGCCAAUAGCUGCAUGGCAUACCAGCCAGACCCUGGGACAUAAAACAAUUGGUUAUCCUUUCUCACCGUGCUGUGCAGUGGCUGUGGGGUGCCUGGGGCUCUUCUGAUGACCUCCUGGUGCCACCAGGACAGUCUUUCUAUCUAUUUGAUCUUUCAUCUUGGGCUUCUUCCAACCAUGAUGGUCUCAGGGCAAUAUCCCGAGAUA
ensembl:lncRNA